rnacentral:rRNA from 1 species
AUGGCUGUCGUCAGCUCGUGUCGUGAGAUGUUGGGUUAAGUCCCGCAACGAGCGCAACCCUUAUCAUUAGUUGCUACGCAAGGGCACUCUAAGGGGACUGCCGGUGAUAAGCCGCGAGGAAGGUGGGGAUGACGUCAAGUCCUCAUGGCCCUUACGGUCUGGGCUACACACGUGCUACAAUGGCGGUGACAGUGGGCAGCAAUGGCGCGAGCCGGAGCUAAUCUCUAAAAACCGUCUCAGUUCGGAUUGCACUCUGCAACUCGGGUGCAUGAAGUUGGAAUCGCUAGUAAUCGUGGAUCAGCAUGCCACGGUGAAUACGUUCCCGGGCCUUGUACACACCGCCCGU